UUAAAUUGCUCAACCUGAACUAUGAGCACAGUGACAUUUCUUACAUUGGCUCUUGUCCUCUGGACCGAGGGGUCCAGUGGGGACAUUGUGGUCACUCAGUCUCCAGCCAUUCUGUCUGCCAUUCCUGGGAGCACCGUGACCUUCUCGUGUAAGGCAGAUGCUAAGAUAGAUGAUGACAUGUGCUUAUAUCACAAAGCGCUUGGACAAACAUACAAGGCUUUGUUUAUUGACAGCUCCAGGCAAAGUGGGGUGUCUGACCGAUUUUCAGUCUCUGGAUAUGACCUUAAUUUUACCUUCAAAAUCACAAAUGUUCAACCGGAGGAUGCAGGCUUUUACUACUGCAUGCAAAGUGAGGCUACUCCUCUCACACAGUGAUAAAGAGUCGUACAA